GAGAGAGAGAGAGAGAGAGAGAACCGAAAUUCUUUGAUGAUCAGGAAACUAAUUCUGAACUAUUACCAGCAGUGGAUCCUUCACCCAUCCCGGGUUUUCGAAUUGAUCCUGACCUCAUACAGAUUCUGGAAUAUAUCCUAGCCCUGUAUCGGUCCUGGAACUGAUACUGAAUUCAUAUUGGUUCUGAAAUAGAUCCUGAACCCAUACCCGUCCUGGAACCGAUGUUGAACCUAUGCUGGUAUUCGGACUGAUCCUGAACUCAUACAUAUCCUGGAAUUGAUUCCCAAUCCAUAUCGGUCCUGGAAGGAAUAUUUAACUCAUACUGGUUCUGGAAUUCUGACCCUAGUCGGGCAUGGAACAGAUUCUGAACACUCUAAACCCUUUCAGGACCUGAACCUCAUCCUGAAUCCAUGCAGGUCAUGGCAUAUAUCAAGACCCUAUAAAGAUCAUGGAUCUGAUUCCCAACCCAUACCUGUCCUGGAACUGAUCAUGAACCUAUAUUUAAUCUUAAACUCGUACAGAUUAUGGAUCUUAUGAAGAACUUUUAUUGGUCUUGAAUCUAGUCCUAAUCCAAUACCGGUCCUGGAACUGAUGCUGAACCCAUCUCGGCAUUCGGACUGAUCCUGGACUCACACAUAUCCUGGAAUAUGUCCUUACCCUAUACCUAUCCUGGAAUUGAUUCGCAACCCAUACCGCUCGUGGAACUGAUAUUGAACUCAGGAGUGUGGAAUAGAUACUGAAUCGAUAUCAUGCGUAGAAUAGCUUCUCAACACAUCUUUGGGCUUCAAAUUGAUGCUGAACUUUCCCUUCAUUUACAUUUCCUUCUUAGGCUACAUUUAAUCCUCAACUCGUACAGAUUCUGGAUCUUCUAAAGAACUCAUAAUGGUUUUGCAACUGGUCCCAAACCCAUAUAGAUCCUAGAACUAAUCGAAAUCCUAUACUGUCUAUGGAACUGUUCUUGAAUCCAUAAUGGUCCCGGCAUCGUUUGUGAACUCUAAUCGAACCCGGUGCUGGAGCGGAUCGUAAAAGCAUACUGCCUCUGGUACUGUUCAUCAACCUUUACCGUAUGUUAUAGAACGAAAACUUUGCCAAGACACUAAGCUGUUACUCGACCCGAAUUGUUACUAAUUUGCGUUCAAGUACUAUCCCAAGCAAUUUAAUACCGUGUGAACCCUUUUCAAUAAAGUUUCUGAGGAUUUCAACGUUGGA